rnacentral:rRNA from 1 species
UACGUAGGGUGCAGGCGUUAAUCGGAAUUACUGGGCGUAAAGCGUGCGCAGGCGGUGAUGUAAGACAGGUGUGAAAUCCCCGGGCUCAACCUGGGAACUGCAUCUGUGACUGCAUCGCUGGAGUGCGGCAGAGGGGGAUGGAAUUCCGCGUGUAGCAGUGAAAUGCGUAGAUAUGCGGAGGAACACCGAUGGCGAAGGCAAUCCCCUGGGCCUGCACUGACGCUCAUGCACGAAAGCGUGGGGAGCAAACAGG